rnacentral:rRNA from 1 species
GUGUGUGUUGGGUAGGGGAGCGUCGAGCGGGUGGUGAAGCUGCCGGGUGACCGAGUGGUGGAGCCUGUUCGAGUGAGAAUGCAGGCAUGAGUAGCGAAUGACGGGUGAGAAACCCGUCCGCCGAAUGAUCAAGGGUUCCGGGGUCAAGCUAAUCUGCCCCGGGUGAGUCGGGACCUAAGGCGAGGCCGACAGGCGUAGUCGAUGGACAACGGGUUGAUAUUCCCGUACCGGCGAAGAACCGCCCAUACUGAACUGGGGAUACUAACCACCGGUUCCACCCGUUUCUCAUGCGCCACUUUGUGGUGUGUGGUUGUGGUGGGAUGCGUGGGACCUGAUCCAGGGAGGUAAGCGUGUUAACAGGUGUGACGCAGGAAGGUAGCCGAGCCAGGCGAUGGUAGUCCUGGUCUAAGCGUGUAGGGCGAGUCAUUGGUAAAUCCGUGGCUCAUAUAGCUUGAGACGUGAUGGGACCCCUUUGGUGGGGGAUUCGGUGAUCCUAUGCUGCCGAGAAAAGCAUCGACGUGAGGUUCUAGCCGCCCGUACCCCAAACCGACACAGGUGAUCAGGUAGAGAAUACUAAGGCGUUCGAGAGAAUCAUGGUUAAGGAACUCGGCAAAAUGCCCCCGUAACUUCGGGAGAAGGGGGGCCCGGACCCUGAUAUGCCCUUGCGGUGUGGAGGGGGUAAGGGUCGCAGAGACCAGGGGGAAGCGACUGUUUAUCAAAAACACAGGUCCGUGCGAAGUCGUAAGACGAUGUAUACGGACUGACUCCUGCCCGGUGCUGGAAGGUUAAGAGGACCUGUUAGACGCAAGUCGAAGCGGAGAAUUUAAGCCCCAGUAAACGGCGGUGGUAACUAUAACCAUCCUAAGGUAGCGAAAUUCCUUGUCGGGUAAGUUCCGACCUGCACGAAUGGAGUAACGACUUCCCCGCUGUCUCAACCAUGAACUCGGCGAAAUUGCAGUACGAGUAAAGAUGCUCGUUACGCGCAGCAGGACGGAAAGACCCCGAGACCUUUACUAUAGUUUGGUAUUGGUGUUCGGUGCGGCUUGUGUAGGAUAGGUGGGAGACUGUGAAGCGGACACGCCAGUGUUCGUGGAGUCGUUGUUGAAAUACCACUCUGGUCGCUCUGGAUAUCUAACUUCGGCCCGUGAUCCGGGUCAGGGACAGUGCCUGAUGGGUAGUUUAACUGGGGCGGUUGCCUCCUAAAGAGUAACGGAGGCGCCCAAAGGUUCCCUCAGCCUGGUUGGCAAUCAGGUGUUGAGUGCAAGUGCACAAGGGAGCUUGACUGUGAGAGUGACGGCUCGAGCAGGGACGAAAGUCGGGACUAGUGAUCCGGCGGUACAUUGUGGAAUGGCCGUCGCUCAACGGAUAAAAGGUACCUCGGGGAUAACAGGCUGAUCUUGCCCAAGAGUCCAUAUCGACGGCAUGGUUUGGCACCUCGAUGUCGGCUCGUCGCAUCCUGGGGCUGGAGUUGGUCCCAAGGGUUGGGCUGUUCGCCCAUUAAAGCGGCACGCGAGCUGGGUUCAGAACGUCGUGAGACAGUUCGGUCCCUAUCCGCUGCGCGCGUUGGAAAUUUGAGAAGGUCUGUCCUUAGUACGAGAGGACCGGGACGGACGAACCUCUGGUAUGUCAGUUGUACCGCCAGGUGCAUGGCUGAUUGGCUACGUUCGGGAGAGAUAACCGCUGAAAGCAUCUAAGCGGGAAGCUUGCUUCGAGAUGAGAUUUCCUUCCUCCUUUGUGGGGGUGAGGCUCCCAGGAGACUACUGGGUUGAUAGGCUGGAUGUGGUAGCGAGGACUGACGACUCGUGGAGCUGACCAGUACUAAUAAGCCGAUGAUCUUCA